AGACUCUUCUCUGCUUUAUCGUCUUCUGGGUUUUAGCUCUUUGUUAUAAAUCUUUUGUUCUUUUCUUGUUCGUUGAGCUUCUGUUCUUGAGCUUCUAUAUGCCAAAUCAAAAGAUGAGGCUGAAUCUCUUAAAUUUACUCAAAAGAAUCUGAUUAACAAGAUUUACAUGAAGAAGCCCUAAACAUAAUCUUGACUUGAGAUAAUAAUUUCAUGUGACAUUUAUCAUGCAGCUAUCCAUUAAAGCUGGAGGAGUUGGAUUAACUUUAACUGCUGCAAGCACAUGUGUCUUUGCAGAACUAGGACUCCAGGUGACCUAAUUCAGGCAAAAAAUUGUGCUCAUAGAAUUGGCUAGGUCUCUUCAGUAAAUAUAUACUACUUGCUGGCAAAUGAUAUGGUUGAUGACAUCACAUGGAAUGUGGUGCAGUUCAAAUUGGAUAAUUUGGGGCAGAUGUUAGAUGGCCAUGAGAACAUGCUAGCUGUGUCGAAUAAUCAGCCAGAGUAGCCCUGCAAAGCAUACUACUACUGAGCAUAUAGCUCUUCAAAACAGAGAACUCUUGAACAGUUUGUUACAAGAUGUGAUAAAGUGAAUAGGUUGGAACAUCAGCCUGACCCAAAACGACUCCAUCAAUCAUGACUUGCGAAAUACGCAAGAUGAAAAGUAAAUCCAUUUUGCACAUACGAGACCGGUGACAGGUGAAUCGGAACUUAAAUGUUGAUGUCUACAUGCAGAAGUUUUCCACUUGUUCUUAACUUUUUGCUCCCCUAGCUAUGUAUGGGGAUUUGUAUAGAGUAGUAUAUUAUCAUAUAUGAAUUA